CGGACGGGGGAGGAAUACAUCGGAAUCUACUCUGUCGUGGGGGAUAACGUAGGGAAACUUACGCUAAUACCGCAUACGACCUACGGGUGAAAGCAGGGGAUCUUCGGACCUUGCGCGAUUGAAUGAGCCGAUGUCGGAUUAGCUAGUUGGCGGGGUAAAGGCCCACCAAGGCGACGAUCCGUAGCUGGUCUGAGAGGAUGAUCAGCCACACUGGAACUGAGACACGGUCCAG
rnacentral:rRNA from 1 species